AAAGGAAUUGACGGGAGCCCGCACAAGCGGUGGAUUAUGUGGUUUAAUUCGAAGCAACGCGCAGAACCUUACCUAGGUUUGACAUCCUUUGACAACUAGAGAGAUCUAGCUUUUGUAGCAAUACAACAAAGUGACAGGUGCUGCAUGGCUGUCGUCAGCUCGUGUGGUGGCAUGUCGGGUUAAGUCCCUCAACGAGCGCAACCCCUAUCUUUAGUUGCCAGCAUUAAGUUGGGCACUCUAGAGAGACUGCCGUGGUUAACACGGAGGAAGGCGGGGAUGACGUCAAGUCCUCAUGGCCCUUACAUCUAGGGCGACACACGUAAUACAAUGGUCGAUACAGAGGGAUGCGAAAUGGUGACAUGGAGCAAAUCUCAAAAAGUCGAUCUCAGUUCGGAUUAGAGUCUGCAACUCGACUCUAUGAAGGUGGAAUCGCUAGUAAUCGCGGAUCAGCACGCCGCGGUGAAUACGUUCCCGGGCUUUGUACACACCGCCCGU
rnacentral:rRNA from 1 species